rnacentral:rRNA from 1 species
ACGCUGGCGGCAGGCCUAACACAUGCAAGUCGAGCGGUAGAGAGAAGCUUGCUUCUCUUGAGAGCGGCGGACGGGUGAGUAAUGCCUAGGAAUCUGCCUGGUAGUGGGGGAUAACGCUCGGAAACGGACGCUAAUACCGCAUACGUCCUACGGGAGAAAGCAGGGGACCUUCGGGCCUUGCGCUAUCAGAUGAGCCUAGGUCGGAUUAGCUAGUUGGUGAGGUAAUGGCUCACCAAGGCGACGAUCCGUAACUGGUCUGAGAGGAUGAUCAGUCACACUGGAACUGAGACACGGUCCAGACUCCUACGGGAGGCAGCAGUGGGGAAUAUUGGACAAUGGGCGAAAGCCUGAUCCAGCCAUGCCGCGUGUGUGAAGAAGGUCUUCGGAUUGUAAAGCACUUUAAGUUGGGAGGAAGGGCAGUAAAUUAAUACUUUGCUGUUUUGACGUUACCGACAGAAUAAGCACCGGCUAACUCUGUGCCAGCAGCCGCGGUAAUACAGAGGGUGCAAGCGUUAAUCGGAAUUACUGGGCGUAAAGCGCGCGUAGGUGGUUCGUUAAGUUGGAUGUGAAAUCCCCGGGCUCAACCUGGGAACUGCAUUCAAAACUGACGAGCUAGAGUAUGGUAGAGGGUGGUGGAAUUUCCUGUGUAGCGGUGAAAUGCGUAGAUAUAGGAAGGAACACCAGUGGCGAAGGCGACCACCUGGACUGAUACUGACACUGAGGUGCGAAAGCGUGGGGAGCAAAC